CCUACGGGAGGCUGCAGUGAGGAAUAUUGGUCAAUGGACGAGAGUCUGAACCAGCCAAGUAGCGUGAAGGAUGACUGCCCUAUGGGUUGUAAACUUCUUUUAUAUGGGAAUAAAAUGUUCCACGUGUGGGAUUUUGUAUGUACCAUAUGAAUAAGGAUCGGCUAACUCUGUGCCAGCAGCCGCGGUAAUACGGAGGAUCCGAGCGUUAUCCGGAUUUAUUGGGUGUAAAGGGAGCGUAGGUGGAUUGUUAAGUCAGUUGUGAAAGUUUGCGGCUCAACCGUAAAAUUGCAGUUGAAACUGGCAGUCUUGAGUACAGUAGAGGUGGGCGGAAUUCGUGGUGUAGCGGUGAAAUGCUUAGAUAUCACGAAGAACUCCGAUUGCGAAGGCAGUUCACUGGACUGCAACUGACACUGAGGCUCGAAAGUGUGGGUAUCAAACAGGAUUAGAUACCCGGGUAGUC
rnacentral:rRNA from 1 species